GACGAACGCUGGCGGCGUGCUUAACACAUGCAAGUGGAGCGACGAACCGGGGCUUGCCCCGGGGCAGAGCCGCGAACGGGUGAGUAACACGUGGGUAACCCACCCCGAUGACCGGGACAACCCGAGGAAACUCGGGCUAAUACCGGAUGUGCUCCUUGACCUUGAGGUCAAGGCGUAAAGAUAGCUUCGGCCUUCGCAUCGGGACGGGCCCGCGGCCCAUUAGCUUGUUGGUGGGGUAAAGGCCUACCAAGGCGACGAUGGGUAGCUGGUCUGAGAGGACGAUCAGCCACACUGGGACUGAGACACGGCCCAGACUCCUACGGGAGGCAG
rnacentral:rRNA from 1 species